GCUUUUAGCUCUAGUGGCGGACGGGUGAGUAACACGUGAGAAUCUGCCCUUAGGAGGAGGAUAACAGCUGGAAACGGUUGCUAAUACUCCAUAUGCCGAGAGGUGAAAGGAUUUAUCCACCUAAGGAGGAGCUCGCGUCUGAUUAGCUAGUUGGUAGGGUAAAGGCCUACCAAGGCGACGAUCAGUAGCUGGUUUGAGAGGAUGAUCAGCCACACUGGGACUGAGACACGGCCCAGACCCCUACGGGAGGCAGCAGUAGGGAAUUUUCCGCAAUGGGCGAAAGCCUGACGGAGCAAUACCGCGUGAGGGAUGACGGCCUGUGGGUUGUAAACCUCUUUUCUCAAGGAAGAAGUUCUGACGGUACUUGAGGAAUAAGCAUCGGCUAACUCUGUGCCAGCAGCCGCGGUA
rnacentral:rRNA from 1 species